rnacentral:rRNA from 1 species
AUUGAACGCUGGCGGCAGGCCUAACACAUGCAAGUCGAACGAUUGGCGGACGGGUGAGUAAUGUCUGGGAAACUGCCCGAUGGAGGGGGAUAACUAAUGGAAACGGUAGCUAAUACCGCAUACCAUCAGCUGUGCCCAGAUGGGAUUAGCUAGUUGGUGGGGUAACGGCUCACCAAGGCGACGAUCCCUAGCUGGUCUGAGAGGAUGACCAGGCACACUGAAACGGAGACACGGUCCAGACUCAUACGGUAGGCAGCGGUGGGGAAUAUUGCACAAUGGGCGCAAGCCGGAUGCAGCCAUGCCGCGUGUAUGAAGAGGGCCUGCGGGUUGUAAAGUACUUUCAGCGGGGGGGCGUUACCCGCAGAAGAAGCACCGGCUAACUCCGUGCCAGCAGCCGCGGUAAUUC